rfam:Dipodomys ordii contig_45535, whole genome shotgun sequence.
GGGAAGGUGGCUCAGUGGUAGAGUGCUUGCCUUGUAAGCAUGAGGAGCUGGGUUCGAUUCCUCACCACCACA